GAUGAACGCUAGCUACAGGCUUAACACAUGCAAGUCGAGGGGUAACGAGAGGAAAGCUUGCUUUCCUUGUCGACGACCGGCGCACGGGUGAGUAACGCGUAUCCAACCUGCCCCCAACUAAGGAAUAACCUUGCGAAAGUAAGACUAAUACCUUAUAAUUUCCUCAGAUGUCAUCUGACGAGGAAUAAAGAUUUAUCGGUUGUGGAUGGGGAUGCGUCUGAUUAGCUUGUUGGCGGGGUAACGGCCCACCAGGGCAACGAUCAGUAGGGGUUCUGAGAGGAAGGUCCCCCCCAUUGGAACUGCGACACGGUCCAAAAUCCUACGGGAGGCAGCAGUGAGGAAUAUUGGUCAAUGGGCGGAAGCCUGAACCAGCCAAGUAGCGUGCAGGAUGACGGCCCUAUGGGUUGUAAACUGCUUUUAUACCGGAAUAAAGUUAGCCACGUGUGGUUAUUUGUAGGUACUGUAUGAAUAAGGACCGGCUAAUUCCGUGCCAGCCGCCGCUGUAA
rnacentral:rRNA from 1 species